rnacentral:misc_RNA from 1 species
GUUAACCUCAGACACUGCAGCAGAACCAGAAGUCAAUGAAUCCAUUUCAAAAACUGAUGCUGGAGAUGUGUGUGAAGUAUGUGAGACCAAACUCUGAGCAGAGUCAUCCUCCUCUGAUACACAACCAGCAUUGUUGACCUUUCGAUGAUUCUUGUUGUUGCAUUCAUUAUUCGAGCUCUUCUCAGACACAUCAGUAUUCGAAUUACUCUUAGCCAUCGCUUCGAAUUCAAGCCUUUUCAUUUCAUAAGCAUGAGAAGCUUCUUCAGCAGUAUUAUAAGUACCAAGCCAGACCCUCCUAGAUUUAAAAGGAUCCCUA